rnacentral:rRNA from 1 species
ACCGACGAACGCUUGCGGCGUGCUUAACACAUGCAAGUCAAGGGGAACGUCCCUUCGGGGAAUUAUUAAACUGGCGAACGGGUGAGUAACUCGUAGGCAACCUGCCUUGGAGAUUGGGAUAACCCCGGGAAAGCGGGACUAAUACCGAAUAAUGCAGCGACUUCUUCGGAAGAUGCUGUUAAAGCGGGCUUCGGCUCGCACUUCAAGAUGGGCCUGCGCCCGAUUAGCUAGUUGGUAAGGUAAAAGCUUACCAAGGCUAUGACAGGUAGCGGGUGUGAGAGCAUGGCCCGUCUCACUGGGACUGAGACACUGCCCAGACUCGCGGCGGGAGGCUGCAGUCGAGAAUCUUCCUCAAUGGACGAAAGUCUGAAGGAGCAAUGCCGCGUGAUCGAUGAAGCCUUUAGGGGUGUAAAGAUCUUUUAUCAGGGAAGAAUCCGUGACGGUACCUGAUGAAUAAGUCACUGCUAACUACGUGCCAGCAGCAGCGGUAAUACGUAGGUGGCAAGCGUUACCCGGAUUAACUGGGCGUAAAGCGUCCGCAGACUGUCAUUCAAGUCUUUGGUUAAAUCUCGAGGCUCAACCUCGAGACCGCCAAAGAUACUGUAUGACUAGAGGCUGGGAGAGGCAAGCGGAAUUACUGGUGUAGUAGUAAAAUGCGUUAAUAUCAGUAAGAACACCAAAAGCGAAGGCAGCUUGCUAGAACAGUCCUGACGUUCAGGGACGAAAGCGUGGGGAGCGAAUGGGAUUAGAUACCCCAGUAGUCCACGCCGUAAACGUUGGAUACUAAAUAUUGGAAGUUUCGACCCUUUCAGUGUUGUUUACCUAAGCUAACGCCUUAAGUAUCCCGCCUGGGAAGUACGGCCGCAAGGCUAAAACUCAAAGGAAUUGACGGGAACCCGCACAAGCGGUGGAGCAUGUGGUUUAAUUCGAUGAUAAGCGGGGAACCUUACCAAGGCUUGACAUAUAGCUGCAAAUCCUAGGAAACUAGGACUCUUUCGAAGGUGCUAUACAGGUGCUGCAUGGUCGUCGUCAGCUCGUGUCGUGAGAUGUUGGGUUAAGUCCUUUAACGAGCGCAACCCUUAUCCUAUGUUAAAUGAUCAUGGGAGACUGCCCCGGUUUAACGGGGAGGAAGGUGAGGAUGACGUCAAAUCAGCAUGGCUCUUACGCCUUGGGCUACACACGUGCUACAAUGGUCAGUACAAUGGGUCGCAAAGUCGCGAGACGAAGCCAAUCCCAUCAAAACUGAUCUCAGUUCGGAUUGAAGUCUGCAACUCGACUUCAUGAAGUUGGAUCGCUAGUAACGCUGAUCAGCUACGCAGCGUUGAACGUUCUCGGGUGUUACACGCCGCCCGUCAGGCAGUUACGCGAUAUUCGACAAUCUGGNGNAAAAUUUUUUUUUUU